rnacentral:rRNA from 1 species
UACGUAGGGUGCAAGCGUUGUCCGGAAUCAUUGGGCGUAAAGAGCUCGUAGGCGGCCGGUUGCGUCUGCUGUGAAAUCCCGGGGCUUAACCCCGGGCGUGCAGUGGAUACGGGCUGGCUGGAGGCAGGCAGGGGAGAAUGGAAUUCCCGGUGUAGCGGUGAAAUGCGCAGAUAUCGGGAGGAACACCGGUGGCGAAGGCGGUUCUCUGGGCCUGUGCUGACGCUGAGGCGCGAAAGCCAGGGGAGCGAAUGGG